UUGAACGCUGGCGGCAUGCCUUACACAUGCAAGUCGAACGGCAGCACGGGAGCAAUCCUGGUGGCGAGUGGCGAACGGGUGAGUAAUACAUCGGAACGUGCCCAAUCGUGGGGGAUAACGCAGCGAAAGCUGUGCUAAUACCGCAUACGAUCUACGGAUGAAAGCAGGGGACCGCAAGGCCUUGCGCGAAUGGAGCGGCCGAUGGCAGAUUAGGUAGUUGGUGGGGUAAAGGCUCACCAAGCCAACGAUCUGUAGCUGGUCUGAGAGGACGACCAGCCACACUGGGACUGAGACACGGCCCAGACUCCUACGGGAGGCAGCAGUGGGGAAUUUUGGACAAUGGGCGCAAGCCUGAUCCAGCCAUGCCGCGUGCAGGAUGAAGGCCUUCGGGUUGUAAACUGCUUUUGUACGGAACGAAGCGGCCUUUUCUAAUAAAGAGGGCUAAUGACGGUACCGUAAGAAUAAGCACCGGCUAACUACGUG
rnacentral:rRNA from 1 species